rnacentral:rRNA from 2 species
GGAGGUAGUGACAAUAAAUCACAAUGCGGGACUAUUUAGUUUUGCAAUUGGAUUGAGAACAAUGUACAAGAGUUAUCGAUAAACAAUUGGAGGGCAAGUCUGGUGCCAGCAGCCGCGGUAAUUCCAGCUCCAAUAGCGUAUAUUAACGUUGUUGCAGUUAAAAAGCUCGUAGUUGAAGUGUGGGGUGAAAGGUUUGUCUUUUGUUUUAAAAGAUGUUCUGCUCACCCCCUCUCCAAUGUGUUGUUAUGGGUAUUAAUUUACUUGUAAUAGCUAUUGGUCAUUUACUGUGAGAAAAUUAGAGUGUUCAAAGCAGGCAUUUGCUUGAAUAUAUUAGCAUGGAAUAAUAGUAAAAGGCUUUUAUGGUCGAUUUAAUUGGUUUGUUCAUGAAAGCAAGAUUAAAAGGGACAGUUGGGGGUAUUCAUAUUCAAUAGUUAGAGGUGAAAUUCUCGGAUUUAUGGAAGAUGAACAAGUGCGAAAGCA